GACGCUGGCGACGUGCUUAACACAUGCAAGUCGAACGAGGUGAUUGAAAGCUUGCUUUUGAGAACCGAGUGGCAAACGGGUGAGUAACGCGUAGACAACCUGCCGCAAAGAGUGGGGACAACAGUACCGAAAGGACUGCUAAUACCGAAUGUUGUAUUCUUUUCCGCAUGGGAGAGAUAUUAAAGAUGGCCUCUACUUGUAAGCUAUCGCUUUGCGAUGGGUCUGCGUCUGAUUAGCUGGUUGGUGGGGUAACGGCCUACCAAGGCGACGAUCAGUAGCCGGUCUGAGAGGAUGAACGGCCACAUUGGAACUGAGACACGGUCCAGACUCC
rnacentral:rRNA from 1 species